rnacentral:rRNA from 1 species
GACGAACGCUGGCGGCGUGCCUAAUACAUGCAAGUAGAACGCUGAAGGAGGAGCUUGCUCUUCUGGAUGAGUUGCGAACGGGUGAGUAACGCGUAGGUAACCUGCCUGGUAGCGGGGGAUAACUAUUGGAAACGAUAGCUAAUACCGCAUAACAGUAGAUGUUGCAUGACAUUUACUUAAAAGGUGCAAUUGCAUCACUACCAGAUGGACCUGCGUUGUAUUAGCUAGUUGGUGGUGUAACGGCUCACCAAGGCGACGAUACAUAGCCGACCUGAGAGGGUGAUCGGCCAAAAUGGGAAUGAGACAAGGCCAAGAAGCCUAAGGGAGGCAGCAGUAGGGAAUCUUCGGAAAUGGACGGAAGUCUGACCGAGCAACGCCGCGGGAGUGAAGAAGGUUUUCGGAUCGUAAAGCUCUGUUGUAAGAGAAGAAAGAGUGUGAGAGUGGAAAGUUCACACUGUGACGGUAUCUUACCAGAAAGGGACGGCUAACUACGUG